UACGGUGGGGGUAAGCGUUGCUCGGAAUCACUGGGCGUAAAGCGCACGUAGGCGGAUUCUUAAGUCAGGGGUGAAAUCCUGGAGCUCAACUCCAGAACUGCCUUUGAUACUGAGGGUCUUGAGUUCGGGAGAGGUGAGUGGAACUGCGAGUGUAGAGGUGAAAUUCGUAGAUAUUCGCAAGAACACCAGUGGCGAAGGCGGCUCACUGGCCCGAUACUGACGCUGAGGUGCGAAAGCGUGGGGAGCAAACAGG
rnacentral:rRNA from 1 species